rnacentral:rRNA from 1 species
AACGAUGAAGCCCCUGCUUGCAGGGGUGGAUUAGUGGCGAACGGGUGAGUAACACGUGAGUAACCUGCCCCUGACUGCGGGAUAAGCCCGGGAAACUGGGUCUAAUACCGCAUAUGACACCUGGCCGCAUGGUCUGGGUGUGGAAAGUUUUUCGGUUGGGGAUGGGCUCGCGGCCUAUCAGCUUGUUGGUGGGGUAAUGGCCUACCAAGGCGACGACGGGUAGCCGGCCUGAGAGGGCGACCGGCCACACUGGGACUGAGACACGGCCCAGACUCCUACGGGAGGCAGCAGUGGGGAAUAUUGCACAAUGGGGGAAACCCUGAUGCAGCGACGCCGCGUGAGGGAUGACGGCCUUCGGGUUGUAAACCUCUUUCAGUAGGGAAGAAGCCUUCGGGUGACGGUACCUGCAGAAGAAGUACCGGCUAACUACGUGCCAGCAGCCGCGGUAAUACGUAGGGUACAAGCGUUGUCCGGAAUUAUUGGGCGUAAAGAGCUCGUAGGCGGUUCGUCGCGUCUGCUGUGGAAACGCAAGGCUCAACCUUGCGCGUGCAGUGGGUACGGGCGGACUAGAGUGCAGUAGGGGAGUCUGGAAUUCCUGGUGUAGCGGUGAAAUGCGCAGAUAUCAGGAGGAACACCGGUGGCGAAGGCGGGACUCUGGGCUG